rnacentral:rRNA from 1 species
AUUGAACGCUGGCGGAAUGCUUUACACAUGCAAGUCGAACGGCAGCACGGACUUCGGUCUGGUGGCGAGUGGCGAACGGGUGAGUAAUGUAUCGGAACGUGCCCAGUCGUGGGGGAUAACGUAGUGAAAAUUACGCUAAUACCGCAUACGAUCUAUGGAUGAAAGCGGGGGAUCGCAAGACCUCGCGCGAUUGGAGCGGCCGAUAUCAGAUUAGGUAGUUGGUGGGGUAAAGGCCCACCAAGCCAACGAUCUGUAGCUGGUCUGAGAGGACGACCAGCCACACUGGAACUGAGAAACGGUCCAGACUCCUGCGGGAGGCAGUAGUGGGGAAUUUUGGACAAUGGGCGAAAGCCUGAUACAGCCAUUCCGCGUGCAGGAUGAAGGCCCUCGGGUUGUAAACUGCUUUUGUACAGAACGAAAAGGUUUCUACUAAUACUAGGAGCUCAUGACGGUACUGUAAGAAUAAGCACCGGCUAACUACGUGCCAGCAGCCGCGGUAA